rnacentral:rRNA from 1 species
UGGGGAAUAUUGCACAAUGGGCGAAAGCCUGAUGCAGCAACGCCGCGUGAGUGAUGAAGGUCUUCGGAUUGUAAAGCUCUGUCUUUUGGGACGAUAAUGACGGUACCAAAGGAGGAAGCCACGGCUAACUACGUGCCAGCAGCCGCGGUAAUACGUAGGUGGCGAGCGUUGUCCGGAUUUACUGGGCGUAAAGGGUACGUAGGCGGAUGUUUAAGUGAGAUGUGAAAUACCCGGGCUUAACUUGGGUGCUGCAUUUCAAACUGGAUAUCUAGAGUGCAGGAGAGGAGAAUGGAAUUCCUAGUGUAGCGGUGAAAUGCGUAGAGAUUAGGAAGAACACCAGUGGCGAAGGCGAUUCUCUGGACUGUAACUGACGCUGAGGCACGAAAGCGUGGGUAGCAAACAGGAUUAGAUACCCUGGUAGUCCACGCCGUAAACGAUGAGUACUAGGUGUA